AGUGAACGCCGGCGGUAGGCCUAACACAUGCAAGUCGAACGGCAGCACAGUAAGAGCUUGCUCUUACGGGUGGCGAGUGGCGGACGGGUGAGGAAUACAUCGGAAUCUACUUUUUCGUGGGGGGUAACGUAGGGAAACUUACGCUAAUACCGCAUACGACCUACGGGUGAAAGCAGGGGAUCUUCGGACCUUGCGCGAUUGAAUGAGCCGAUGUCGGAUUAGCUAGUUGGCGGGGUAAAGGCCCACCAAGGCGACGAUCCGUAGCUGGUCUGAGAGGAUGAUCAGCCACACUGGAACUGAGACACGGUCCAGACUCCUACGGGAGGCAGCAGUGGGGAAUAUUGGACAAUGGGCGCAAGCCUGAUCCAGCCAUACCGCGUGGGUGAAGAAGGCCUUCGGGUUGUAAAGCCCUUUUGUUGGGAAAGAAAAGCAGCAGGUUAAUACCCCGCUGUUCUGACGGUACCCAAAGAAUAAGCACCGGCUAACUUCGUG
rnacentral:rRNA from 1 species